UACGAAGGGGGCUAGCGUUGUUCGGAUUAACUGGGCGUAAAGCGCGCGUAGGCGGGUUUUUAAGUCAGGGGUGAAAUCCCAAGGCUCAACCUUGGAACUGCCUUUGAUACUGGAAAUCUUGAGUCCGGGAGAGGUGAGUGGAACUGCGAGUGUAGAGGUGAAAUGCGUAGAUACUGGGAGGAACACCAGUGGCGAAGGCGCUACCUGGACCGGUCUGACGCUGAGGCGCGAAAGCGUGGGUAGCAACAGG
rnacentral:rRNA from 1 species